UACGAAGGGGGCUAGCGUUGCUCGGAAUCACUGGGCGUAAAGCGCACGUAGGCGGCUUUUUAAGUCAGGGGUGAAGUCCUGGAGCUCAACUCCAGAACUGCCUUUGACACUGAAGAUCUUGAGUUCGGGAGAGGUGAGUGGAACUGCGAGUGUAGAGGUGAAAUUCGUAGAUAUUCGCAAGAACACCAGUGGCGAAGGCGGCUCACUGGCCCGAUACUGACGCUGAGGCACGAAAGCGUGGGGAGCAAACAGG
rnacentral:rRNA from 1 species